GUGAACAUACCACUUGUUGCCUCGGCGGAUCAGCCCGCUCCCGGUAAAACGGGACGGCCCGCCAGAGGACCCCUAAAACUCUGUUUCUAUAUGUAACUUCUGAGUAAAACCAUAAAUAAAUCAAAACUUUCAACAACGGAUCUCUUGGUUCUGGCAUCGAUGAAGAACGCAGCAAAAUGCGAUAAGUAAUGUGAAUUGCAGAAUUCAGUGAAUCAUCGAAUCUUUGAACGCACAUUGCGCCCGCCAGUAUUCUGGCGGGCAUGCCUGUUCGAGCGUCAUUUCAACCCUCAAGCACAGCUUGGUGUUGGGACUCGCGUUAAUUCGCGUUCCUCAAAUUGAUUGGCGGUCACGUCGAGCUUCCAUAGCGUAGUAGUAAAACCCUCGUUACUGGUAAUCGUCGCGGCCACGCCGUUAAACCCCAACUUCUGAAUGUUGACCUCGGAUCAGGUAGGAAUACCCGCUGAACUUAAGCAUA
rnacentral:rRNA from 1 species